rnacentral:lncRNA from 1 species
CCUAGGAAGGAAAGGAGUUGUUGUUUUGUAGAAGGUGCUGGGGUUUGAGAGAUCAGUCGGACACGAUUGGCAGGGAGAGCAAGUGUGUUUUUAUGGGAAUUAUGCUGAGAUAGGUAACAGAUGAGGAUGAAAUUUGGGCUUGAUUGAAGUAAUGGGGGCUGUCUGUGAAGCUUUGCGGCAGUACAGCCUAGGUAAUUUGCUGAGCUUGAUGGGUGUCAGGGUCAGUCCAAAUGAAAGUGAAGAGAGACUGGGAUUAAGGGUGCAAAGGAAUAGUAAAGAAAGCAUGUCUGAGAUCUAGAACAGAAUAAUGGGUUGUAGAGGCAGGUAUUGAGGAUAGGAGAGUAUAUGGGUUUGGCACCACGGGGUGGAUAGGCAAAACAAUUUGGUUGAUAAGGCGCAGAUCCUGAACUAACUUGUAAGGCUUGUCUGGUUUUAGGACAGGUAAAAUGGGAGAAUUGUAAGGAGAGUUUAUAGGCUUUAAAAGGCCAUGCUGUAGCAGGCGAGUGAUAACAGGCUUUAAUCUUUUUAAAGCGUGCUGUGGGAUGGGAUAUUGGCGUUGAGUGGGGUAAGGGUGAUUAGAUUUUAAUGAGAUGGUAAGGGAUGCAUGAUCGGUCGCCAAGGAGGGAGUAGAGGUAUCUUAUAUUUGUGGGUUAAGGUUGGGGGAUACAAGAGGAGGACGCAAAGGAGGCUUUGGAUUGGGAAGAAGGGUGGCAAUGAGAUAUAGCUGUAGCCCAGGAAUAGUCAGGGAAGCAGAUAAUUUAGUUAAAGUGUCUCGGCCUAAUAAGGGAACUGGGCAGGUGGGGAUAACUAAAAAGGAGUGCUUAAAAGAGUAUUGUCUAAGUUGGCACCAGAGUUGGGGAGUUUUAAGAGGUUUAGAAGCCUAGCCGUCAAUACCCACAACAGUUAUGGAGGCAAGGGAAACAGGCCCUUGAAAAGAAGGUAAUGUGUAGUGGGUAGCCUCCGUAUUGAUUAAGAAGGGGACGGGCUUACCUUCCACUGUGAGAGUUACCCGAAGCUCGGCAUCCGUGAUGGCCUAGGGGGCUUCCGAGGCGAUUGGGCAGUGUCAGUCUUCAGCCGCUAAGCCGAGAAGACCUGGGAAGGAGUCAGUCAGAGAGGCUUGGGCCAGAGUUCCAGGGGCUCUGGGAGUGGCUGCCAGUUACUUCAGGCCAUCUGGGUGUAUACGUGCAAGUCACAAGGGAUGCGAUGGCUUGGCUUGGGCUCAGAGGCCUGACACUGGAUCUAAAAAUGAAGCUAAAGGAACAUAUUCUGAAGUCUGGAAAUGUGGAACCUGCUGAUUUUCUAGAGGAAAACUCAAAACCUGUAGAUAUCUGUUGACUGUUUAAGAGCUUUCACAUCAAAAUAAGAGUCGAUGUGGCAUUCUAGGAAAUAAUUUUAACAGAGUGUUUUGUUUGGCUUUCUAUUAUUUGGCAAAAAAAUCAUUUUAUGUGAAAAUUAUAGGCCAAGAUGGAUUCUCUGAUGCUUUUGUGCUGUACCAGUCUACAACUAGUUGGUAUCAUGAUGCUCUAGGUGUUGUUUCACAGUCCUUUAGCAAAUGUUCUAACAUCUACACUCCUCCUUCCCUGCCCACAUUCAUUUGGGCCACUUCAGCUGAUCACCUAGCAGCUGUUUCAGCAUCCUGCUGUCAUUCAUCCUCUACAUGUAUCCAGCCCAGUGGAACUACAUUAAAGUGAGCAGGACUUCACUGCAGGAAGAUUGGCUGCCUGCCAGGACUUCAUUAUUAGUGAUCUUUCUUACUGCUCAUGUUUCAUAGCCUCUUGGGUAACACUGAAUCAGGUUUUUAAGAACUAGAUGGAGAGUUGUGGCAAGCCCACAUUUCACUGCCUCCACUCUGUAGAUGCCAAGCUUGACUGGUGACAAGUAUGUCCCCUGAACAAAGCAAAUGUAUGUGCAGAUAACGUGGUAUUUCAAUUUCUGUGCACUAAGAUGAUUUGGCAAGAGUGAUGGUGACUGCACCUGUUUAGCAGAAGAAAAAUGUCUCAUCACAACCCCAAAUAACAUUAUGUUAUGCUAUUAUGACAUCAAGGAUCUAAAAAUGAAGCUAAAGGAACAUCGAGGAUGUUAUAAUAGCAUAUUGGUAUAGAAUAUUGGUACCUACUUUCUCCAUAUCAACCAAACAUCUAUUUUCUAAUCCCUCUUUUUAACAACCAAGAUAUGUGCAUUUUAGUAUGACAAUGCCUUUAUUUUAUUUAAUAAUUUCAACUCACCAGCAAAAUUAGAAAAAAAACUCUGAAGAAUAUGAAAUUAAACAGAAAUAUAUGUGGAAUUCAUGUCUUAUUUUUCAAACAAAUGAAAAUGAGUAUCAAAAAAGCAGAAAAAAGAAGCUUUGAAGUGCUUUCCUUCCUUGAUUUUGGCCCAGCAGGAAAUAAAGAUUCAUAAAUGGAGAUUAUGAUCUCGUUUUAUAAUCCAGCUUGCCAAAUCAUCUCCUAGAAGAUUGCAUCAGCCAAUAGAUUUUGAAUAAUGUUAAAUAUGAAAAAUACUUUAGCAUUAUUAACUCUAAUGUUUUCAUAUUUCAAAUGAGAAAACAAGUCAAGCAGCGUAUUAAAUGUCACACAGUUAACAGCAG